GCAGUAAAUUAACCAGUCCACCAGAGGGGGCAGCAUAGCGAGAUCACGGCAGGUGCUGUAUGAAAAUAAUGCAGAAAUGAACAUAACGACGUGACAUCUGCAACAUUACAGAUCAAGCGAACCGGAUCCAACAGCAACAAAGUCCUGUGAAAGAGGAAUGGAACGUACUGGAAUAAGUGACAAUAGCAUCUGCAUCCACCUCCCACAGUUCAACAGCAGCAGAUGAGGUAGUCCUACCUUUGUCCAGCACUGGUCCAAAAAUGGCCAGGUUAUCAUUGAUAGUAGUGCAGUUCCAUCUGCGGCCGCGGAACUGGUGCUGGCACUC